UCCUCACAGCAGCUGCGAGAAUAAGAGCUGCACCUGCCAGAGCCCACCCGGUUAGAAAGAGGUGGUGCUGGGAUCUGCACCCGCUGGCCAUCUCUGGAGACCACCAUGAGCCAGGGUCCCUGGUGACGGCCCGGGGAAGGGGCAGGUGCGGCACCAUGGAAGGUCGGAGGAGGGCAGAGGCAAAGAAGGCCAUGGAAACGGACAAGAGGAGCCGCCCUGCCGUUCUGCACCACGUUCUGCACAGCUUUUCUCCCCAUGGCCCGAGGAGCCCAAGGAGACGCCACGCAGGGGGCCAGGGGCCUCUGCUUGCUGCCCAGGCCUCAAGCCACAAGAGAAAGCAACAUUCACCUUUAACUGCAUCACAGACUGAACGUUAACCCACUGAAGACCCGCCACCCUGUUAACUGGCUAGAAUGGAGGUGAUCCUGCGGCUCCACUGAACAGAAACAGAUCCUGAGAUCCUGAGACCUUAAGGUAAGCGUCUGAACACUGUCACCAUGUACAACGUCUAUCUAUUGCUUUACUGGACAAUCAGAGCGAGAAACAAAUGCAUUCGAUGCUGUGGAGGUAGAAGACACCAUUGUUGCUACCCCAACCCCAAAUGUCUGCAUCAGGACCAGCUGAGCUCUUCUUGGUCAUUAUCUUUUGAAUAAAUGUUACACAUUUGAAUAGAACAAUUUACGCUAAUAAAAUACAGUUGACCCUUGAACAGGUUUCCAGGGUUUGAACUGAAUG